GAUGAACGCUAGCUACAGGCUUAACACAUGCAAGUCGCGGGGCAGCAUGGGGGUUGCUUGCAAUCCCCGAUGGCGACCGGCGCACGGGUGAGUAACGCGUAUCCAACCUGCCCUUCACCACGGGAUAACCCGGCGAAAGUCGGACUAAUACCGUAUGUUGUCCAUUGACGGCAUCCGAUUUGGACGAAAGGUUUGGCGGUGAAGGAUGGGGAUGCGUCCGAUUAGCUGGACGGCGGGGUGACGGCCCACCGUGGCGACGAUCGGUAGGGGUUCUGAGAGGAAGGUCCCCCACACUGGAACUGAGACACGGUCCAGACUCCUACGGGAGGCAGCAGUGAGGAAUACUGGUCAAUGGGCGUAAGCCUGAACCAGCCAAGUAGCGUGCAGGAUGACGGCCCUAUGGGUUGUAAACUGCUUUUAUGCGGGGAUAAAGUGGCCCACGUGUGGGUUUUUGCAGGUACCGCAUGAAUAAGGACCGGCUAAUUCCGUG
rnacentral:rRNA from 1 species